GGCGAUUUGGCUCAGUGGUAGAGUGCUUGCCUAGCAAGCACAAGGGCCUGGGUUCGGUUCCCAGCUCCG
rnacentral:tRNA from 1 species